rnacentral:rRNA from 1 species
UACAGAGGGUGCGAGCGUUAAUCGGAAUUACUGGGCGUAAAGGGCGCGUAGGCGGUCUAUCAAGUGAGAUGUGAAAUCCCCGGGCUUAACCUGGGAACUGCAUCUUAAACUGAUAGGCUGGAGUGCUGUAGAGGAUAGUGGAAUUUCCGGUGUAGCGGUGAAAUGCGUAGAGAUCGGAAGGAACAUCAGUGGCGAAGGCGACUGUCUGGACAGAUACUGACGCUGAGGCGCGAAAGCGUGGGGAGCAAACAGG